rnacentral:rRNA from 1 species
UACAGAGGUGCAAGCGUUGUUCGGAAUUACUGGGCAUAAAGCGCGUGUAGGUGGCGAUGUAAGUCGGGUGUGAAAGCCCCCGGCUCAACUGGGGAGGGUCACGCGAUACUGAUCGACUCGAAGGCAGGAGAGGGUAGUGGAAUUCCCGGUGUAGUGGUGAAAUGCGUAGAUAUCGGGAGGAACACCAAUGGCGAAGGCAGCUCGCUGGGACGUGACUGACGCUGAGACGCGAAAGCGUGGGGAGCGAACGAGG